AACGAACGCUGGCGGCAGGCCUAACACAUGCAAGUCGAGCGCCCCGCAAGGGGAGCGGCGGACGGGUGAGUAACACGUGGGAACGUACCCCUUUCUACGGAAUAGUCUCGGGAAACUGGGGGUAAUACCGUAUAAGCCCUACGGGGGAAAGAUUUAUCGGGAAGGGAUCGGCCCGCGUUGGAUUAGGUAGUUGGUGGGGUAAUGGCCUACCAAGCCGACGAUCCAUAGCUGGUUUGAGAGGAUGAUCAGCCACACUGGGACUGAGACACGGCCCAGACUCCUACGGGAGGCAGCAGUGGGGAAUCUUAGACAAUGGGCGCAAGCCUGAUCUAGCCAUGCCGCGUGAGCGAUGAAGGCCUUAGGGUUGUAAAGCUCUUUCAGUGGGGAAGAUAAUGACUGUACCCACAGAAGAAGCCCCGGCUAACUCCGUGCCAGCAGCCGCGGUAAUGUACAGUGU
rnacentral:rRNA from 1 species